rnacentral:lncRNA from 1 species
GAGUCAUACCUAUAUCUGCCUCUACUAAUUUCAUCUUUGUCUUGGUUAACCAUUUCAGGCAGCUCUAGCAUAUGGGUUGAUAUGAAAUCAAUUUUGUCACCAAAGGGAGCUGACAAGGGAUAAGGCAGUCCAAGCUCUCUCAUUGUUAUAUUAGUUUUAAGUUUAUUACUUUUUUGUUAGAAAUAGUAUAGUUUUGCUUUGUAAUGUAUGUACUGAGAUUCAAGCCUUUUGGUUUUUGAUGAUAUAUAUUAAAAUCUUAUGAUUUUGGUGUUUUCUCACUAGAUGUUCUUGCUAUAUCAAUCAAUCUAAUGUAGUAUCACUUCUCUAUGAACAACAUAUGUCUCCUAGUAUAUGGUGACUAGAAUUCUUUCAGACGAUAGAAAAUUGUUGUUGAAAACAACCUCAGACUACAUAUUGUUCAAAUGAAAUCAAAAAUCUGCAGUCUAAUGCAACAAAAGACGACAUAAAUGUGUCAUAACAAACAACUUCAUACUACAGAAAGUGAUGUAUCUUUGUGGUCCCUAUACAGUAUUCAACGACAUAUAUAUGUAGUGUUUGCACAUUUCAAGUACAUUAAUCUGUAGUUACAGUGCAACAUCAACAACAUAGUUCUGUAGUGCAAUUCUAAAACAGACGACAGAAUAUCCUCGAUCCUUUAAUUUUGAGUAACCCAGACGACACACACUUUAAGUUCAUAUGUCGUCUGAGUGCAUGAUAGUCCACGGUUUUUAUCUGUCGUCUGAGUUGUAUAGAAACGGCAGCCACUUAUGCUACAGUCAUAUACAUAGUCAUAAUCUAACUACAUAUCCUGUUGGCAUAAAGCCAAGGCACAUAUAUGAAAUAUCCUAGAACAACCCCCGCCGCGUGUCUACAUGCCGAAAGGUGCAUAUACGGUGUUGCCUCGUCAAAACCUUGCCAAGUAACAAACACCAUGUGGGAAAAACUAAACCUUGGUCGAAGGAAAAAAAAAUACAACGCACCAACUACUUCAUUGAGAAGUCGACCAUAUGAUGCUCCCCCUGAUAAGUAUCUUAAUCGGAGGGACUUGAUAAACGCUACAUUCCAAUGUUUUUCACAUUUUUCUCAAAAAUAGAUUUAAACCAAGAUUUAAGUAAGUCUGCCAUGUGUAAUGAUUAACCUUAACUAAACAGAUGUUGAUCAAUGAUCUCUGUAAGAGACAAAUAAUGCAUGUGAUGUUGCCUCGUUAAAAACCUUGCCAAGCAAAAACUCAGUGGGACAAAAGUCUUAGUCUAAGGGAAAAAGGGCACAACAGGGUUGAUACGACACAACCGCACCCUUCAAAUUUGAUAAUGACAUGUACGUGCUAGACUCCCCUUAAAGUCUGCAUCUCCCUCUGAUCUUUACAUCAAUCAUAGGGCUCUUCUUGAUUCUUAUUAAUCACGGAAGUUGCAAUAACUUAGCAUUUCAAUGCUCUUAAAUCAUGUCUUCAAAUAUGGCAUUGGGCAAUGAUUAUCUAGAUCAUGCCGUAUUGUCCUCAAACAUGAUCUUUUACACUUAGAUCUUGAGGAGAAGGCCGCUUGUGAACUCAAAACAUAAGUUCGCGUUGGAAAUCAGAUUUCCGUGCAGCAUGACCUUCGGGUACUAGAACAGUCAUAACUUUCUCUAGGAAAUACAUAUGAACGAACCAUAAACGGUUUUGGAAACUAGACUCAUUUAGCUUUCCAACCGUAUAUCACACACAUUCUGGUUCCUUAAGAGCUGUUCACAAAGUCCGGUCAAAGUUGAUUGUUUUGGCAAAAUCAGAUUCUCGGACAGAUCCGUCUUACUUUACAAAAAUAGCCAUAACUCACUCAAUAUGAUAGGUAUAAUCAAAUGGUUCGUAUCCCUGGAAACUAGACACAUAGACCUUUCCAAUGGUGUCAAUUUCACCAUUUU